GAUAAAGGCAAAUAUGUAGCUGGAGACGCUAAAGUUAGCAAAAAAACAACAGGGUUACUCGGCGCAGAAAUGUUAUAUGAAGCUUUUGGUAUAACUUACUGUAAGGGGAAAAUUAAUAUUAGUCAUGUUUGAAGAGAGACCAGAACAUUAACAUUUUUGUUUUCAUAAUGAGGUAUGACCAUAUGAACUAGCAUGCUAUAGUUAGCUAAAAACAACAGAAUUAUUCAGUGCAGAAAUGAGACAUGCAGCGCUUGAUAUGUGCUUCCUGGACAUGGGGAAGGUUAUUAUCAGUCAUGUUUGAAGAGAAAACUGAGCAUAAACAUUAUCGCUGUCUAAAUGAGGUGUGACCAUAUAGAUCAGCAUGGCUAAUGAAAGAACUCACUAUGUUGGAUUCCUUCUUAUUUGUUCUCCUCCACAUGAAGCAGGUGACACUGUUCUUCCUAACUUAGUUGUGGUACCCUUUGACAUAUAAUACAAAAGGUGUAUCUUAUAUAAAUGCAGUGAAUUUACAACGUCCUUGACGAUGACCUCCUAGUUCUCUUUUUCCCUCACAAGCAAGCCUCUUCUCCCUCCCUACUGUACUCGCAGCUCAGCGCUAUUUCUUCCUCUAUGUAUCCAUUAAUUGAGUAAUUUGAUUUCCUUUCCCGUAAGCGUAAUUUUUUCAGCUCGGUGAACCAGUGCAUAAUUAGCUGAGAACAACCUGCUGUGUGGCCUCUUAAGAGGUCUGUUUCGCCAUAUUGUCGCAUGCAGUCGCAUAGCAGAACCGCGUAUAUACUGUAUAGAUACACUCAGUGGAGUCAACAGUGUUUGUGCACUAUUGGGAUCUGAAGUAUAGGAUAGCCCUAGCCCCCCUAAAAUCAGGCCUGGUCCCUUUUAGAUGGAAUUUUCUUAAAUGAAGGUUCGAUGAGAGAUCUGUCAUUCCUGAGUUUGCCCACUGUGACAUUGGUGCUUAUCUUCUUCACUCACUUGCGUUUUUUUUUUUUUUGGGGGGGGAUGUCGUCACAGGGAUUUACUCUCUUUUAUUUAUUUAAGCCAUGCAGCUCUGUGAAGGAAUGUGAUGUUGCUCUAAAUAUUCCAUGAAAAUACUUCUGUAGCGGUAAUAGGAAUAUUAGUCAUGAACCACUGACAGUACAACUAGAAACUAACAUGCAGAUUUUUUUUUUCUGAGAAAGUUUGUCUGAUUCUAGAAAGAAAAAUGUGUCACAACUGGACAUUGACAUGAACGCAACGGAUUUCUGUUAUGUUAAACUCCUUUAUGCUUGAGUCCACGCCCACUUAACCCUUAAUAGGGCACACAAUUAACUCAUUGGCUGCCAUUGACGGUGCCAAACGGCCGAUCAAUCUCGACUGGGAGAGUUUGGCACCGACAGAUCACUGCCAGCCCUACCAGUAAAAAUGGAUUGGACAUCUAGCGCUGUCAAUGGCACUGAAAGAUAAGCAUUCACAGCCAGGAUUCCCAGUUUAAAUUGAUUGAACCUCUAUCGUUGUCAAUGGCAAGCAAUUAGGUAAAUUCUUUUUUUUUUUUUUUUUUUGUUCCUGUUGUUUUUAAUCAACUAAUGAGUUCUGUAUUAUUAGUUUUAUUAUUAUUUUUUGUGUUUUUAUUGGCAUUUCAUUAAUAAAUAAUUGUAUCUAUGUACAGAAAAUGCAUAGAAUAACUCGAUAAUGAUUGGUUAAAAAGGAGAAAAAAAUAUAUCUAUAAAUAUACAUAUAUAUACAUAUAUACAUAUAUAUAUAUAUAUAUAUAUAUAUGUAUAUAUGACGGAAAACACAGACAAGGCUUAAAACCCAGUUUCUGCUCUUGCACCCCUCUUUAAAAUAAACUGCUGUAUUUUAAGCCAAAAGAACUGUUGUGCUUGAUAGAACAAUAUGUCUAUAUGCUGCCAUAGCAGAUUCAUUGCGCACUAAGCCUCCGAACUAUUUUUUGAUUUGUCCGUUUUACUCCGAAAACCCCCGUUUACAGACGUCGCGCAACCGCUUUUGUUUCAACCUAGCCAUAAAAAGAAGGUAAGUAAUCAUAUUUAUUAUUCAAAAUGUCUGUCAUUUUAACUUAGAAUCAUUAAUUGAUAUCUACAUUUUAUUUUAGAAACAAAAAAGCCACGUGUUCUACAAAGGGUUAACCCUCUUUUAAACAUGCUGACUUAAACCACUCAUCGAUUGUACAUCCCGCAGCCUCAUCGAUCUUGUUCAUGCGGGAUUAUUGCAUGUAAGCAGAAAAAAAUGCUUUGUUAGAAUAUACACACAAAAAGGAGAAAGAAAAAUGUCCCUCGACAAACAAGACCUACUUCACUCUUCAAUUUAGUCUUGACAACAUAAACUCAUCAAUACACUUCCUCAAUUUUCAGUCUAUCAAUUCACAGUUUGCUGGUUGAUAUUCAGGGCCUGCUGACCUUGCAGUCUGCCGCUUUAAAAAGUACACAAAAAGAAGAACUGGUGAUGUGCCUGCCUGCGGUUGAGCCUGGCUGCCAGUGAGUGUGCAUUCUGAAUGUUCACCUGGCCUGCAUCACAGACAAGAUUUGGAAAUUUAAUUGUGGCUGCAGGGCACAAUGGGAAUACUUUGUUUUAAAAAAAAAAAAAAAAAAAAAGAUGAGACGGAAGAAUAAAGGUACGGGUGUAUGUGGUGGGCUUUGUGUUGCAUUUGUUUCUUUCUAAUGUUGGGCGCUAAGUUAACCCUUGUGCAGUAUUGCGCCAAAUCCUGGCGUUUUGCUUUGUUACUCAUCAUAUUAUCAUAUAUAAAGCAUAUCAAAAAAUAAGCUAGAGGGCUGAAAAUUGUCAAAAAAUGUCAAAACAUGUUUACCUUCAAAAUGGCACCAUCCACAAUUUCAAAAUUGGUAUUGUCAUUAUUAUAUGUGGGAGGCCUACUUUUUUGUGACGCAGAGAGUAUUACGCCAACUUUCGUCCCCAUUGACUCCCAUUAUAAAUCCCAAUUUCUCAUGUUUUUUGAUGCACUGCCACCUGGUGUGUGAAAGUGCAUUUCCCACGAUUACACAAUUUAUGGCUUCAGCGGGGUGUCAACUGACACGAGAUUGUAACGGAUCCUGGAUGAAUAUCUUAAAAACAAAAAAUCCAGCAGGGGACACUAGACUAUUAUUUAUCAUUUUUCUUGAUUGAUCCCUCAUUGUCAAACGCAUUUACUUACUACCAAAAAAAGAAGUUUUCAUGUUGAGCUUUGAUCGAACGGGCCAGUGUGUGGACUCACGAACACUUGUGUGUGAGUGGGUGUGUGCACGCGCGUGUGAGGGUGGGGGUGUGCACGCGCGUAUGUGGGUAUGUGUGUGUGUGUGCGCGCGCACUUUGCCUGUUCAAUGGGACAGUAUGAGUUGACUUUUGUGACGUUUGACUUUAUGACGCGACUGUGGGAGAAAUCGUGUGCGUUUGUACAUGCACGCGCACUCUCACGUCGCCGAGCGUGUGCGUAUGUGUGUGCUUGUACUUUUGCGUGCAGAGGUCUGCAGAAGGCGGCUUUGAAUGCACUUCAAAGCACCUUGUCUGCAGGGCGCAAAAAGGUGUUUGAUGUGACACAUUUUGAGAAUUCAAAAUGCAGUUGUUUAUUGAAUCUCAACUCUUAUUGGUAGAAUGUUUUACUUUUUCCUCCUCCCAUUGGCUCAGUGAAUGGUCACGUUUGUAAACAACUUUAUAUGGGGUCCAACGGCUCAAAGGCCAUUUUACUCCCUGUGACUGCUGGUGAGCAGAGAUGGCGAGAAUAUUUUUUCUUGAGGAGGCAAGAAAAAUGGUGUUGGAGGAGGAAUGUCCCACAGACUCAAUGGAUGAAAAGGAUGAUGUGUCACAAGACUAUGAUGAAGAUUUUGAGCCACUUGUAGGAGAGGAGGAAGAGGAUGAUGAUUAGGAUUUUGAGGAGGUUACAGCAGAAGCAGCAGAGGAGCAACAACAACAGAAUCAGGUCAGCACUCCAUGGCUUGCCAAAAACCAAGAAAUUGUGUGGUCCUCUACAAAUGAAGUUUCGAGGCACUUCAACCUGCCCCCUAUUCUAUUGCCUGGCCCAACGCUUUUUGCAAUUGCCAGGAUCAGUAGCCCCGAGACUACUGUCAAUCUGUUUUGCCCGGACGACAUUAUCCAGCAGAUUGUCUAAAAAAAAAAAGCCCAAGAUUAUUUUGGACUACGAUCUGUGUAAAGCGGCAGUCGAUCACUUGGACCAGGCAUCUGCCACAUAUUCUUGCUGCUGGAGGACAUUACGAUGGCCAAUGUCCAUAUCAUAUCAUAUGCUGGAUCUGUCUCUCUUCAAUGCAUUCACCCUCUUUACUCAGGUGGACCCCGCAGUGGUGGCCACGCCACAAAGCCAGAAAUGUGGGCAAUGUGGCCUUUGCAUUAACCGACUACGGGCAUCAAACAUUAGCUGCAAAUGUGGCAUUUUCUUUAGCCAAAAACAUGGCCAAAAAGUGUGCAAAUUGUUUUUUUUUUUAAAAAAAAGCUCACUGGUUGUUUGUUGUUCUAGUUGAGUUGUUUGUUGUUCUAGUGCAGUAGUUUGUUGUUGUGCGUUUGAGUUAUAUAGAUUCUGUUAAUUCAAAAUUCUUCUAGUUGUUGUGACUUGUUGACUGUUAUUCUGAUGCCAGUGAAUAUUUUUAGUGGUUGAAGGUAAAAAAAAAACAAUAUUCAGAAAUGACUUAGUUGUCACACUUCCAAGAGUGACUUUUGGCUCCAAUACUGCAAGAGGGGUAAACAUUUUCCAUUUCAUUUUCAGAUGUCACAAGUAAAAAAAUAUUCAGAAAUGACUUAGUUACACACCCUCAAGAGGGCGCAAGGCUUCAUCCCCAAUACUGCGAGAGGGGUAAAAAUUUUGAAAUUGCCAUUGUCUAAAAAUGUUGAGUUCCUCAAAUAAAUUUUGAUGUUAUAAUUUAUUAACAUA